GAACGCUGGCGGCGUGCUUAACACAUGCAAGUCGAACGAGAGGAGAAGGAAGCUUGCUUCUUUCAAAUCUAGUGGCAAACGGGUGAGUAACGCGUAAGCAACCUGCCCUUCAGAUGGGGACAACAGCUGGAAACGGCUGCUAAUACCGAAUACGUUCUUUUUGUCGCAUGGCAGAGAGAAGAAAGGGAGGCUCUUCGGAGCUUUCGCUGAAGGAGGGGCUUGCGUCUGAUUAGCUAGUUGGAGGGGUAACGGCCCACCAAGGCGACGAUCAGUAGCCGGUCUGAGAGGAUGAACGGCCACAUUGGGACUGAGACACGGCCCAGACUCCUACGGGAGGCAGCAGUGGGGAAUCUUCCGCAAUGGACGAAAGUCUGACGGAGCAACGCCGCGUGAACGAUGACGGCCUUCGGGUUGUAAAGUUCUGUUAUACGGGACGAAUGGCGUAGCGGUCAAUACCCGUUACGAGUGACGGUACCGUAAGAGAAAGCCACGGCUAACUACGUG
rnacentral:rRNA from 1 species